UAACCCUCAAGCCUAGCUUGGUAUUGAGGUCGCUAUCCAGCGGCCCCUAAAAUCAGUGGCGGUGCCCGUAGGUUCUACGCGUAGUAAUUUUUCUCGCUAUGGAUCCCUAUAGGCACUUGCCAACAACCCCAACUUUUUCA
rnacentral:misc_RNA from 1 species